rnacentral:miRNA from 1 species
GGGCAUGAGGUGCGUGCGUGCGUGUGUGUGUGUGUGUGUGUGUGUGUGUGUGUCCGUCCCCACUGUCACUCUCCCACCACAC